AGCCUUGUACACACCGCCCGUCAAGCCACCCAAGUAGGGCGCACCCGCAGUCGCUGCCCCAACCGCAAGGAGGGAGGCGCCGAAGGUGAGUUUUACGAGGGGACU
rnacentral:rRNA from 1 species